GCCAUACUCCGUCAGCGUGCAGUGAAUCCAUAGCUGCACGUGGGGAACCGCCUGAACUGAAACAUCUAAGUACC
rnacentral:rRNA from 1 species